UUAUACGACCGUACCGCAAACCGACACUGGUGCGCGAGAUGAGUAUUCUAAGGCGCUUGAGAGAACUCAGGAGAAGGAACUCGGCAAAUUGACACCGUAACUUCGGAAGAAGGUGUGCCCUAUUAGUGUGUAGUGAACAACGAAGCAUGAAUGGGUUGCAAAAAAUCGGUGGCUGCGACUGUUUAUUAAAAACACAGCACUCUGCAAACACGAAAGUGGACGUAUAGGGUGUGACGCCUGCCCGGUGCUGGAAGAUUAAAUGAUGGGGUGCAAGCUCUUGAUUGAAGUCCCAGUAAACGGCGGCCGUAACAAUAACGGUCCUAAGGUAGCGAAAUUCCUUGUCGGGUAAGUUCCGACCUGCACGAAUGGCGUAACGAUGGCCACACUGUCUCCUCCUGAGACUCAGCGAAGUUGAAAUGUUUGUGAUGAUGCAAUCUCCCCGCGGAAAGACGGAAAGACCCCAUGAACCUUUACUGUAGCUUUGUAUUCGACUUUGAACAGAUCUGUGUAGGAUAGGUGGGAGGCUUUGAAGCAGGGUCGCUAGAUCUUGUGGAGCCAACGUUGAAAUACCACCCUGGUGUGUUUGAGGUUCUAACCUAGGUCCAUUAUCUGGAUCGGGGACAGUGCAUGGUAGGCAGUUUGACUGGGGCGGUCUCCUCCCAAAGCGUAACGGAGGAGUUCGAAGGUACGCUAGUUACGGUCGGACAUCGUGACGAUAGUGCAAUGGCAUAAGCGUGCUUAACUGCGAGACUGACAAGUCGAGCAGAUGCGAAAGCAGGACAUAGUGAUCCGGUGGUUCUGUAUGGAAGGGCCAUCGCUCAACGGAUAAAAGGUACUCUGGGGAUAACAGGCUGAUACCGCCCAAGAGUUCAUAUCGACGGCGGUGUUUGGCACCUCGAUGUCGGCUCAUCUCAUCCUGGGGCUGUAGCCGGUCCCAAGGGUAUGGCUGUUCGCCAUUUAAAGAGGUACGUGAGCUGGGUUUAAAACGUCGUGAGACAGUUUGGUCCCUAUCUUCCGUGGGCGCUGCAGAUUUGAGGAAGCCUGCUCCUAGUACGAGAGGACCGGAGUGGACACACCUCUGGUGUAUCGGUUGUCACGCCAGUGGCAUUGCCGAGUAGCUAAGUGUGGAAGAGAUAACCGCUGAAAGCAUCUAAGCGGGAAACUCGUUUCAAGAUGAGAUCUGCCGGGGCCUUGAGCCCCCUAAAGAGUCGUUCAAGACCAGGACGUUGAUAGGUCAGGUGUGGAAGCGAAAAAAAAAAAAU
rnacentral:rRNA from 1 species